UUCUUUUCUUUUCUCUUCUUUUCUUAUUUCCAUAAUUAAAUUCAUAAAUUUUAAUUUUAUUUAUUUUAUGUCGUUUAAUCUCUCUUAUUUUAAUUGACAUUCAGGUCAAAUUUUAACUCUGGGGUUAAAAUGACCAAAAUGCCGUUAUAAUGCUUGUCGGUUUAUUUUUGUUCUGUACCAAUAAAUAAAUUCCCCUGAAUUUUUUUUGACCUUUCUGAUGUCAUUUACACUUCAAUAAACCUCUAAUUAGGUUUCAAGAAUUAUUUCCUAGGGUUCCCUACAGGUCUGGGAUCAGCAACUGCCUUUGCAGUCGCUUCCUAAUCUGGUCACCCAUCGCUGUGACUCUGG
rnacentral:misc_RNA from 1 species